GGGUUGUGAGGUUAAGCGACUAAGCGUACACGGUGGAUGCCCUGGCAGUCAGAGGCGAUGAAGGGCGUGCUAAUCUGCGAUAAGCGCCGGUAAGGUGAUAUGAACCGUUAUAACCGGCGAUACCCGAAUGGGGAAACCCAGUGUGACUCGUCACACUAUCAUUAACUGAAUCCAUAGGUUAAUGAGGCGAACCGGGGGAACUGAAACAUCUAAGUACCCCGAGGAAAAGAAAUCAACCGAGAUUCCCCCAGUAGCGGCGAGCGAACGGGGAGGAGCCCAGAGCCUGAAUCAGCAUGUGUGUUAGUGGAAGCGUCUGGAAAGGCGCGCGAUACAGGGUGACAGCCCCGUACACAAAAGCGCAUGUGCUGUGAGCUCGAUGAGUAGGGCGGGACACGUGGUAUCCUGUCUGAAUAUGGGGGGACCAUCCUCCAAGGCUAAAUACUCCUGACUGACCGAUAGUGAACCAGUACCGUGAGGGAAAGGCGAAAAGAACCCCGGCGAGGGGAGUGAAAAAGAACCUGAAACCGUGUACGUACAAGCAGUGGGAGCCCCACCACCAAAGCAUUCUCUGGUGUUGAAGGCCCUGCAAAGCAGCAUCGCGGUGGCGGAGCGUCGUUUGCGACGCCCAACACACAAAACAAGCGGUGAGUGCUUUGGGGUGGGGUGACUGCGUACCUUUUGUAUAAUGGGUCAGCGACUUAUAUUCUGUAGCAAGGUUAACCGUAUAGGGGAGCCGUAGGGAAACCGAGUCUUAACCGGGCGUUAAGUUGCAGGGUAUAGACCCGAAACCCGGUGAUCUAGCCAUGGGCAGGUUGAAGGUUGGGUAACACUAACUGGAGGACCGAACCGACUAAUGUUGAAAAAUUAGCGGAUGACCUGUGGCUGGGGGUGAAAGGCCAAUCAAACCGGGAGAUAGCUGGUUCUCCCCGAAAGCUAUUUAGGUAGCGCCUCGUGAAUUCAUCUCCGGGGGUAGAGCACUGUUUCGGCUAGGGGGCCAUCCCGGCUUACCAACCCGAUGCAAACUGCGAAUACCGGAGAAUGUUAUCACGGGAGACACACGGCGGGUGCUAACGUCCGUCGUGAAGAGGGAAACAACCCAGACCGCCAGCUAAGGUCCCAAAGUCAUGGUUAAGUGGGAAACGAUGUGGGAAGGCCCAGACAGCCAGGAUGUUGGCUUAGAAGCAGCCAUCAUUUAAAGAAAGCGUAAUAGCUCACUGGUCGAGUCGGCCUGCGCGGAAGAUGUAACGGGGCUAAACCAUGCACCGAAGCUGCGGCAGCGACGCUGAUGCGUUGUUGGGUAGGGGAGCGUUCUGUAAGCCUGUGAAGGUGGCCUGUGAGGGUUGCUGGAGGUAUCAGAAGUGCGAAUGCUGACAUAAGUAACGAUAAAGCGGGUGAAAAGCCCGCUCGCCGGAAGACCAAGGGUUCCUGUCCAACGUUAAUCGGGGCAGGGUGAGUCGACCCCUAAGGCGAGGCCGAAAGGCGUAGUCGAUGGGAAACGGGUUAAUAUUCCCGUACUUGGUGUUACUGCGAAGGGGGGACGGAGAAGGCUAUGUUGGCCGGGCGACGGUUGUCCCGGUUUAAGCGUGUAGGUGUGUGUUCCAGGUAAAUCCGGUUCACUUUAACACUGAGGCGUGAUGACGAGGCACUACGGUGCUGAAGCAACAAAUGCCCUGCUUCCAGGAAAAGCCUCUAAGCAUCAGGUAACAUCAAAUCGUACCCCAAACCGACACAGGUGGUCAGGUAGAGAAUACCAAGGCGCUUGAGAGAACUCGGGUGAAGGAACUAGGCAAAAUGGUGCCGUAACUUCGGGAGAAGGCACGCUGACACGUAGGUGAAGUGAUUUACUCAUGGAGCUGAAGUCAGUCGAAGAUACCAGCUGGCUGCAACUGUUUAUUAAAAACACAGCACUGUGCAAACACGAAAGUGGACGUAUACGGUGUGACGCCUGCCCGGUGCCGGAAGGUUAAUUGAUGGGGUCAGCGCAAGCGAAGCUCCUGAUCGAAGCCCCGGUAAACGGCGGCCGUAACUAUAACGGUCCUAAGGUAGCGAAAUUCCUUGUCGGGUAAGUUCCGACCUGCACGAAUGGCGUAAUGAUGGCCAGGCUGUCUCCACCCGAGACUCAGUGAAAUUGAACUCGCUGUGAAGAUGCAGUGUACCCGCGGCAAGACGGAAAGACCCCGUGAACCUUUACUAUAGCUUGACACUGAACAUUGAGCCUUGAUGUGUAGGAUAGGUGGGAGGCUUUGAAGCGUGGACGCCAGUCUGCAUGGAGCCGGCCUUGAAAUACCACCCUUUAAUGUUUGAUGUUCUAACGUGGACCCGUGAUCCGGGUUGCGGACAGUGUCUGGUGGGUAGUUUGACUGGGGCGGUCUCCUCCUAAAGAGUAACGGAGGAGCACGAAGGUUGGCUAAUCCUGGUCGGACAUCAGGAGGUUAGUGCAAUGGCAUAAGCCAGCUUGACUGCGAGCGUGACGGCGCGAGCAGGUGCGAAAGCAGGUCAUAGUGAUCCGGUGGUUCUGAAUGGAAGGGCCAUCGCUCAACGGAUAAAAGGUACUCCGGGGAUAACAGGCUGAUACCGCCCAAGAGUUCAUAUCGACGGCGGUGUUUGGCACCUCGAUGUCGGCUCAUCACAUCCUGGGGCUGAAGUAGGUCCCAAGGGUAUGGCUGUUCGCCAUUUAAAGUGGUACGCGAGCUGGGUUUAGAACGUCGUGAGACAGUUCGGUCCCUAUCUGCCGUGGGCGCUGGAGAACUGAGGGGGGCUGCUCCUAGUACGAGAGGACCGGAGUGGACGCAUCACUGGUGUUCGGGUUGUCAUGCCAAUGGCACUGCCCGGUAGCUAAAUGCGGAAGAGAUAAGUGCUGAAAGCAUCUAAGCACGAAACUUGCCCCGAGAUGAGUUCUCCCUGAGACUUAGAGUCUCCUGAAGGAACGUUGAAGACGACGACGUUGAUAGGCCGGGUGUGUAAGCGCAGCGAUGCGUUGAGCUAACCGGUACUAAUGAACCGUGAGGCUUAACCUUACAACGCCGAAG
rnacentral:rRNA from 1 species